rnacentral:rRNA from 1 species
CAAUAGCGUAUAUUAAAGUUGUUACAGUUAAAAAGCUCGUAGUUGAAUUUCUGGCGGGCGCGCCGGUCUUCCAAGUGUUGUACUGGGCGCAGUCCGCCAUCCUUGUGGAGAGGGCUCGCAUUGAGUUGCGUGUCGGAUCUGCAUCAUUUACUGUGAAAAAAUUAGAGUGUUUAAAGCAGGCUGUCGCUUGAAUACAUUAGCAUGGAAUAAUAAGAUAGGACUUCGGUCUAUUUUGUUGGUUGCGAACCGAGGUAAUGAUUAAUAGGGAUAGUUGGGGGUAUUCAUAUUUAAUUGUCAGAGGUGAAAUUCUUGGAUUUAUGAAAGAUGAACAACUGCGAAAGCAUUUACCAAGGAUGUUUUCAUUAA